rnacentral:piRNA from 1 species
UACAAACCUUCAGCUCCUUUCUUCCAGCUU